rnacentral:rRNA from 1 species
AAAGAGUUACAGAAGAGCACAUGAGGAAUGCCUUGACGAAUUAUGCCGAUGAAGGACGUAGAAGGCUGCGAUAAGCCUCGGGGAGCUGCCAAUCAAGCUUUGAUCCGGGGAUGUCCGAAUGGGGAAACCCGAUGCGGGUCAUGCCGCAUCACCGUUACCUGAACACAUAAGGUAUCUGGAGGGCACCUGGGGAACUGAAACAUCUAAGUACCCAGAGGAAGAGACAUCAACCGAGAGUCCCUUAGUAGCGGCGAGCGAAACGGGAUGAGCCUAAACUAAUUUUCUUCCUACUUUUUUAAGUAGGUUCGUUGCGGUAAUUGAAAAGAGGGUUGUAAGGGAGUGGCUCAACCAGACUUAGUGUUUUUGCGCAUUUGACUAUGGGUGAUUUUCACUCGUAUUCAAAAGCGCAAAUGCACAUUAAUAGGUUUGGAUUGCCAGGAUGCAACUGCCUGGAUGAAGUUACAAAACAUGUUGGUUAGGAGAAGGGGCCUGGAAAGGACCACCCAAGAGCGUGAAAGUCGCGUAUCUAAAAACCACAUGUCUUUAUUGCUACUUUACUUGAGUAGGACGGGGCACGAGAAACCUUGUCUGAAUCUGGGAGGACCACCUUCCAAGGCUAACUACAUAAUUCGAUCGAUAGCGAACAAGUACCGUGAGGGAAAGGUGAAAAGAACCCCGUAAGGGGAGUGAAAUAGAAUCCUGAAAUCAUGUGCUUACAAUGAGUCGGAGCUCGAAUUUAUUCGGGUGACGGCGUGCUUUUUGUAGAACGAUCCAGCGAGUUACUUGUGCAGUGCGGGUUAAGUGUUUACGACACGGAGCCAUAGUGAAAGCGAGGGUUAAUUGCCCGCCUUAUACGUACUGCGCAGUAGACCCGAAACCGGGUGACCUAACCAUGGCCAGGCUGAAGCGUCGGUAAAACGGCGUGGAGGGCCGCACCAGGGUCAGCUGCAAAUGGCUUGGAUGAGCUGUGGUUAGCGGAGAAAUUCCAAUCGAACCCGGAGAUAGCUGGUUCUCCUCGAAAUAGCUUUAGGGCUAGCGUUACGAACUACUCCUCGGAGGUAGAGCACUGAAUGGGUUGCGGGCCCGUAAGGGUACUGCGCUCAACCAAACUCCGAAUGCCGAGGAAGACUACCGUAGCAGUUAGAACAUGGGAGCUAAGUUCCAUGCUCGAAAGGGAAACAGCCCAGAUCGCCAAUUAAGGUCCCAAAGUCAUAGCUCAGUGGGAAACGAGGUGAGAUUGCAUAGACAACCAGGAUGUUGGCUUAGAAGCAGCCAUUCAUUUAAAGAGUGCGUAACAGCUCACUGGUCAAUUGUGAUCUUGCGCGGAAAAUAUAACGGGGCUCAAGCUAUGCACCGAAAUUGCGAAUCGC